AGUUGGGUGUCAGUGUUGGUGUCAGACAGGUCUAAUGUCCCAGUGCUGUCACCCGUUGUAAGGCGCUCCAGUGAGCAAGCAAUGCGUGGACUCGAUGCUUUCCCUUCCUUCUUAUCUGGUUCCUGCGUCCGCUGGCAGAAAGGAAAUGGAGACGUGCCCUUUACAGACAGGGAUCCUGUGAUUACUGAUUGAAACUUCAGUUUCAUGCCAUUGAACUUUUGUUCAGUCUAUGGUCCCAGUAAAGUGUUGCCUCUGAGGGAAGCCAUGCUCAGCCUUUGUUUUAUACACCUUGAUUUUUUGGAUCUUAGUAGCGAUCCAGAACUUUCCACUUCACUCAAAAAGAUAAACAUCUAUGGAAACAGAAGAACAAAAUACCAAAUUAGGGGGGGGGGGGGAGUUGGGUUUUUGUUGUGGCUGUUUAGGUUUUGCCAUGUAUCCCAGGCUGGCCUUGAACUCUCAAUCCUGCCCCAGCCUCAAGUAGCUGAGGUUACAAGUGUGUGUCAUCUUAUUUCUAAGAUUGUGCUUUUUAUGUUUUCUGGUGACAGUAAAAAUGUUUAAUGUGUUACUCAGUUCAAGCCGAGAUGUCCAGGUGCUGUAGGUUAUCCAUCCUGGCACUCUCCACGAGGUUACCAUUGAUAAUGCUGAAGGACUCCCUGUAACCUGCACUGCUCACUUUUUGGAGGGUUUUCCCUCCUGAGGCUUUCCUUUCCUGCUCUUCUGUCUGUACCAAAAUUCACUUUUGCAGAGAAAGCCUUUUUCCAUAGUGCCCAGUACUCGAGUGAAAUGUGGAGUUGACUCCUGAGAAUGGAGACAGGGGACAAGACAAGAGGAGAUACCUUGAGGGUACUUUUUGUACCUGGAUCCAAAUACUGUUUUCUUAGUUCUUGUAUGUUGGGCAUGAGUACAUCUGAAUAGAGUGACUCUGGGUCCCUCUGGAAUUGAGACCCUUUGGAUUUACAUGCCCAGUCAUUCAUUUUCUGUUUUGCCAUUAAUGAUCUCAACCUGGUGAAAAUGACUUCUAGGAACUAGUGUAGCCUUUUUUGUUCCUGAUCCCUUAUCUUUCAUUAUUAUUUUUUGGAAGUUGAGUUUUCUACUGUUUGUACUAUUAAGUUGUUGAGGAUAAAUGGCCAUGUCCACUGUUUCCCUGAGUUUUUGUGGCAAAUGUUGGGCCCUCGCACUAACAGUCAUGUUCUGUGCUCUCCAAAAUGAUGCAGAACUUUUCAUCAUGGUCUUAAUAUAAACUGGUGGUGUUUAAACCCUUGAGUUUUACAGGGGCAAGGAAAAUGAUGGGCAAGUGAGUUUUAAAGAUAUUUAUUGAAUAAGAAGCAAAGACAGAACUGAGCCACGUCCUAGAAGAGCUUUUUUAUUUUCUUUCUUUGUACCCAGCCUAAAUUCUGACUUUAAGAACAAUUUUUUGUAUCCCCCUACUCCAUUAGCUCUUGCUUGGGGUGGGAUUGACCCCAGUCAUGCUUCAUGAUGACAGAACAUGUUUUCUCAUGACAAAUGCCAAUAUAGAAAUUUAAAAAUAUUCCUUUCCAAAUGCACUUUGUAAUUUUUUGCUUUUAAAAUGGCAUCUUGAAAAUUUUAUUGUAUUUGUACUUAAUUUUUGUUCUCAUCUAAAUGUGCAUUUUCUGACUGUAUAGAAGAAGCUUUGUUAUGUAAUUUAAUAAUAAAUAUCUAAAUGGUG